rnacentral:rRNA from 1 species
GACGUAGGGCGCGAGCGUUGUCCGGAUUUAUUGGGUGUAAAGAGCUCGUAGGCGGCUUGUCGCGUCGAAUGUGAAAACUCGGGGCUCAACUCCGAGCUUGCAUUCGAUACGGGCAGGCUAGAGUUCGGUAGGGGAGACUGGAAUUCCUGGUGUAGCGGUGAAAUGCGCAGAUAUCAGGAAGAACACCUAUGGCGAAGGCAGCUCUCUGGGACGGUACUGACGCUGAGACGCGAAAGCGUGGGGGAGCGAAACAGG